GUGAUAGCUUCAGCAGCACAUAUACUAAAUUGGAACAACACAGAAAAGAUUAACAUGGCCCCUACACAGGAUGACACACAAAUUUGUGAAGAGUUCUAUAUUUUU
ensembl:snRNA U6 U6 spliceosomal RNA